UGACCGCUGGCGGCGUGCCUCAUACAUGCAAGUCGAGCGAACAGAUGAGGAGCUUGCUCCUCUGACGUUAGCGGCGGACGGGUGAGUAACACGUGGAUAACCUACCUAUAAGACUGGGAUAACUUCGGGAAACCGGAGCUAAUACCGGAUAAUAUAUUGAACCGCAUGGUUCAAUAGUGAAAGACGGUUUUGCUGUCACUUAUAGAUGGAUCCGCGCCGCAUUAGCUAGUUGGUAAGGUAACGGCUUACCAAGGCAACGAUGCGUAGCCGACCUGAGAGAGUGAUCGGCCACACUGGAACUGAGACACGGUCCAGACUCCUACGGGAGGCAGCAGUAGGGAAUCUUCCGCAAUGGGCGAAAGCCUGACGGAGCAACGCCGCGUGAGUGAUGAAGGUCUUCGGAUCGUAAAGCUCUGUUAUUAGGGAAGAACAAAUGUGUAAGUAACUAUGCACGUCUUGACGGUACCUAAUCAGAAAGCCACGGCUAACUACGUG
rnacentral:rRNA from 1 species